CCUACGGGAGGCAGCAGUGGGGAAUAUUGGACAAUGGGCGCAAGCCUGAUCCAGCAAUGCCGCGUGUGUGAAGAAGGCCUGCGGGUUGUAAAGCACUUUCAGUAGAGAGGAAAAGCUCAAGAUAAUACUCUUGAGUCUUGACGUUAC
rnacentral:rRNA from 1 species